rnacentral:rRNA from 1 species
GAUGAACGCUGGUGGCGUGCCUAAUACAUGCAAGUCGAGCGAACAGAUGAGGAGUUUGCGCCCCUGACGUUAGCGGCGGACGGGUGCGUAACACGUGUAUAAAAUACCUAUAAGACAGGGAUAACAUCGGGAAACCGGAGCUAAUACCGGAUAAUAUAUUGAACCGCAUGGUUCACUAGUAAAAUACGGUUUUGCUGUCACUUAUAGAUGGAUAAGCGCCGCAUUAGCUAGUUGGUAAGGUAACGGCUUACCAAGGCAACGAUGCGUAGCCGACCUGAGAGGGUGAUCGGCCACACGGGAACUGAGACACGGUCCAGACUCCUACGGGAGGCAGCAGUAGGGAAUCUUCCGCAAUGGGCGAAAGCCUGACGGAGCAACGCCGCGUGAGUGAUGAAGGUCUUCGGAUCGUAAAACUCUGUUAUUAGGGAAGAACAAAUGUGUAAGUAACUAUGCACGUCUUGACGGUACCUAAUCAGAAAGCCACGGCUAACUACGUG